rnacentral:rRNA from 1 species
UACGAAGGGUGCAAACGUUGCUCGGAAUCAUUGGGCGUAAAGCGCACGUAGGCGGCCUUAUAAGUCGGAUGUGAAAUCCCUCGGCUCAACCGAGGACGUGCAUUCGAAACUGCAAGGCUCGAGUAUGGAAGAGGGUCGCAGAAUUCCCGGUGUAGAGGUGAAAUUCGUAGAUAUCGGGAGGAACACCAGUGGCGAAGGCGGCUCACUGGCCCGGUACUGACGCUGAGGUGCGAAAGCGUGGGGAGCAAACAGGG